UACGUAGGGUGCGAGCGUUAUUCGGAAUUAUUGGGCGUAAAGGGCGCGUAGGCGGCUUGGCAAGUGGAUGGUGAAAUCCCUCGGCUUAACCGAGGAACUGCCGUCCAAACUGCUUCGCUUGAGACCGGGAGAGGUGAGUGGAAUUCCCAGUGUAGCGGUGAAAUGCGUAGAUAUUGGGAGGAACACCAGUGGCGAAGGCGGCUCACUGGACCGGUACUGACGCUGAUGCGCGAAAGCGUGGGGAGCAAACGGG
rnacentral:rRNA from 1 species